UACGGAGGGUGCAAGCGUUAAUCGGAAUUACUGGGCGUAAAGCGCGCGUAGGCGGUUUGCUAAGUCAGAUGUGAAAUCCCCGGGCUCAACCUGGGAAUGGCAUUUGAGACUGGUAGGCUAGAAUGUGGUAGAGGUGAGUGGAAUUCCAGGUGUAGCGGUGAAAUGCGUAGAGAUCUGGAGGAACAUCAGUGGCGAAGGCGACUCACUGAGCCAUUAUUGACGCUGAGGUGCGAAAGCGUGGGUAGCAAACAGGGUAAGUUACCGGAUACCCGCUAGGUACGUCC
rnacentral:rRNA from 1 species